rnacentral:lncRNA from 1 species
GUUCACAAACUGACUAGCUUAGAUUUUGGUCUGAUAAAUAUUAAAUUAAAAAUAUUUUUUCUACCUUCCAGAUGGACAUAAGAUGUUUAUGAAUCUUAAAGUAUUCUAUUUGAAAAGGAAGUUUCUUGGUGAAGGAACUGAUGUCGUUAAGAGCGAGCUUGGUGAAGCUUGAAAGAUAGAGGAACUGACUCUGACACAAACUACCAGAACUAAAGUUGAUUAGAUCAAAUUCAGAGCCCAACGUAAAGGCAUUUCUGA